rnacentral:rRNA from 1 species
CCGCCCGUCACGUCAUGAAAGCCGGUAACACCUGAAGUCGGUGGGCGAACCUUCGGGGCGCAGCUGCCGAGGGUGGGACUGGUGAUUGGGACGAAGUCGUAACAAGGUAGCCGUAGCGGAAGCUGCGGCUGGAUCACCUCCUUU